GCAAGUUAUCUGCUUGAACGGAGGGUCUUAGUACAUUAAGUAAACAUUCCAUGGACGUUGGAAUUUCUUAUUAACCACUCAGAUUUAUAAUAACCAGUUUAGCUCAUAUAGUUCCAUAAACACAUUCUUUGUUUUUCCACUAGGCUUGUAUUUCUCACAGGACAACAGUAAACUAAUUUAUUUACUUCAAAUAUUUAUUUUCAUCUAUAUAGAGAAGAGAGAAUCUCUCUCCCUACUUUAAGAACAUACAGGCAGCUCAGAGCUCUCAAGGACCUUUAAGUUCCUUCUUAACCAGUAUCAAGCCAGUUAUUUUAGAAGUAGGAGGCGGCACCGAGGUUCAAAAGAGCUUCCGUAAUACUCCUUACGAACGAGGCGGCCUGCUUGUUGCGGCUCUUCUUCAUCCCUUCCUCCUUUCUACCACCUGGAACCGAGACGGCUGGACCAUGAGGAUAAGGGCACCCACGAGGGAAGGCAGCCUGGUGAGGGGGGCCGAGGCCGAGUCCCUGAGCACACCUUGGAUCAGGCUGCCGUAUCAACCCUGCAGUGUGCACCUCUGGACUUGACUUGGAAGAAAUAAAAUUCUAUCUCGUUUAAGCCAUUGGUAUCUCAGGACUCCCUAACAUGUAGUGAAACCCUGUCUCAACAAACAUGGGUGGAGCUCCGAAGGAGAAGGAAAAUCAGUGAUUUAAAAUGCCUCCUCAUUCCACCUCCUUCUGCACGACCUGGAGAGGAGAGGAUAGAGCCCGUUCCAGAGAAGCAUGGACAGAGGCCUGCUAAAAUAACAAGACUGUCCAGAGCCUGCUGGACUCCAGGGAGCUCUACCCAUGUCUUCCCAGCCUCCUGAUAGAGAGCCUCUCCGCGUCCCAGGCCCCUGCCACAGCGUCCAUAGGGUCUGACUUGGGAAUCCCACCUCUCCUCCCAGGAAGCAGAGGAAACCCAACAGAAAGAAGGCAGCCCCUGAGCCAAGCCUUGUUCAGCCAUCACUCCCCAGCUCCCAGUCGGUAAGUAAGGAAAGAAGGAAGUCACCAAAUGGUCAAACUGACAAAGAACCAUAUUUACUGACAUAGCAAAAGAAUAAAACAAAAUGUUUUGCAAGCUUUAAAAGCAAUGGCUAGACAACUUUUAGGAAAAUGUCCAAAUAUAGUCACUACUGGUUAAAUAUACUUUUAUGAACAUAGUACAGAGUUCUUCCCGUGGCAGUGAUCUGUGUGGUGAGCUGGCCGGGCCCAAGGAUUCCAAGGACGCAUAUGAGGGAAACGCCGAGGCUGAAACAAAAAUCAGAAUCCCAUAUUCCAUCCAAAGGAGCACACGGAGGAGAGAUUGCAGAGGCGUGGACUAAAGGAACCAGGACAGUAAGAAGGUGAAAGGCAGUGACUGGAAGCUGAGAUGAGAUGCUAAACAAGGUCAGAGACACAGGAUGAAAUUGGAGUUUGCAUAAGUUCCAGAGACUGGGUCAGUUAUUACCUGGUGUGGGGAGGGCUUGUUGCAGGGAACUGGGUUGGUUUAAAGAUAGGAG
rnacentral:lncRNA from 1 species